ensembl:lncRNA
AGGACUUGGAAGCAGUGGAAUAUUAGCCAGGAGGCUGAGAGGCAUCAAAUCAGACCUCUUGUGUUUUAGAGAAAGAGGUGAAGCAUAUUUCUUUUCAAACGGUGGAGGACAUGGAGGCAGUGGAACAUCAUGAAGCGUCAGCCUGAUGAGCUUAAGCAUUAACUCUUCCUCUUCAUCACCUACAGACCACACUGUUGAACUUGGAUUCUUUCCACAGGGACCAAAAGCUUCAACAGGUGGAGGACUUGGAGGGAGUGGAACCUCAUGAGGCAGAGGGCUGACACACUUUGGAUUCAUGUAUUCAGCACACACAGGGGAUGGUGGAGGACUUGGAGGCAGUGGAAUAUUAGCCAGGACACUGAGAGGCAUCAAAUAAGACCUCUCGUGUUCAAGGAAACGAAGGGAAGCAUACUUCUUUUCAGAAGGUGGAGGACGCGGAGGCAAUGGAACAUCAUAAGGCAGCCCGCUGAUACACUUUUGAUCAGUAUUGUCAUCAUUUACAGGGGAUGAUGGAGGACUUGGAGGCAGGGAAAGAUCCCACGUCAUCAGCCUCAUACGUUUAGGAGGCGGUAAGAUCCCCACAUCCUGGAAGCAGUACUUGCUGCACACAUAACAAGAAAAUUCAGCAGCUGAUUAUUUUUGCAACAUAUGAUGGAAACAGAUGUUUUAAUGUCCUUUUUUUUUUAAAUUGAAAAGCAAACAUACCUGUCACUGCUGACAUCUGAGCUGCUUUGUGAGUUAAACCUCUUAAGAUGUGGAUUUUCCUUUAAAAAGUUACAUAUUAUUAUUGUUGUUGUAUUUUUCAUUAAGAAUUCACAUGAUUUAAUGUUUAGAAACAGACACAGUGAAGAGUAACUUACCACAGCUCGAGCCAUUUUAGGCGUCUGUCAGGAGAAAGAUCCACACAGGAUUUGGUUUCUCUGUGUAACAUUACAGGACAGUUGCCAUACACUUUCAAGUCAGUUUCAACAAUGUAUAUCCAAUCAAACUGUAUCAUUACAGCAUUGUUUAGGUGAUUAAAUACGAAAGAAAUGAAGAUAAAAACAGGAACAGCUGGCAAUCAAGGUAAA